rnacentral:rRNA from 1 species
UACGGAGGGUGCAAGCGUUAAUCGGAAUUACUGGGCGUAAAGCGCGCGUAGGCGGUUUUGUAAGUCGGAUGUGAAAGCCCAGGGCUUAACCCUGGAAUUGCAUUCGAUACUGCAUGACUAGAGUAUGGUAGAGGGAAGUGGAAUUUCAAGUGUAGCGGUGAAAUGCGUAGAUAUUUGAAGGAACACCAGUGGCGAAGGCGACUUCCUGGGCCAAUACUGACGCUGAGGUGCGAAAGCGUGGGGAGCGAACAGG